CAUUUUUGCAUGCCAACCGAAAGGACGAAUUUGUAACCGGAAAAUGAAAUACGGAAAAUAAAAACUUUUUAUUUAACCUCUAUCAUCAAAAUUGUAAAAGGAAAGCCUCGCCUUUAUAUCCUUUUUGCGGUUGAUAGAACUCCGAUUUAUCUGAUCAAAUGUCCAUUAGUACGCCGGUUCCCAAAAAAAAAAUAAUAAAAAUUUUACCUCCCAUGAGAGAAGAGUCAAAUUAUACAAGCUUCCUUCAUAUGCAACUUUGAAAAUCAGCUGCAUGUCGUCUGGUCUUUUAAAUUAUAAAGCAAAAAUUGAUAUAAUACUACAACCUAGGUUGUGUUUGGUGCACGAAAAUACAAAGCUCAAAUAAAACGGUAUGAAAGUUUCAUGCUCCUAGUGUGAACAAAUAAGGCUCAAAUCAAAUAAAAUUUUGGUUAGUCGAGAAUAAAUUGCUCGAGAACAAGAAAGUUCAAUGAAAUUUUCUUAAGGUAUAUUAGUCAAAGUUGGCAAAGGUGCUUUUGAUUAUGAAAUUUAAUAAGAGUUCAUAAGCCAGAAUUCAUAAAAACUAAUAAAAAAAAUUUGCAGACUCCAUCCCAAAAAGACAUAGGUUUUCCACAGCAAUUAAUAUACGCUGAAGACUACUAAGGAUUUUGAAACUAGAGAGAUAUGGGUUUUUGGUCAUUAAAUUUUCUUUUACUAGGAUAAAACUGUUUACACUUAGAAAAGCAUUUUAAAAAAAUAAACACCAAGUUAAUGAGAGGAAGGAUUGAGACUUCACGGAAUUACUACUCCUAUAUGUGAAGUAUUUCGCAACACAACUAUUUUUUCCGAUUUCAUGUGACGUUGGCAAUCUGAUAAUUUAAGACAAAAGUCGACGAAAAGCAAAGAUCAUCUGAUAGCGAUAUCUAUUUUGAAGUGAACAUACGAUGUAAUAUGUGACAUAAGUAUAGUUAAUUAGCUUAACAACAGUGCACUGUAGUUUCAAAAUUUGCUUGCCAAGGCUUCAUGUAACCACAUGUUUCAAUCCCUUCAGUUACUGAUAUUUAGCAUAAUUAAUACUUGAGAAUUGAGAAAUUUUA
rnacentral:lncRNA from 1 species